ACAUCACAAUGAAACACUGGUUCCCAUAUGAUCUCCAAAGUUAAGAAACGUUGAGCCCAGUCAGUACCUGGAUGGGUGACUGUUUGGAAAUACCAAGUGCUGUAUG